rnacentral:rRNA from 1 species
GCACAAGCGGUGGAGCAUGUGGCUUAAUUCGACGCAACGCGAAGAACCUUACCAAGGCUUGACAUAUACCGGAAACGGCCAGAGAUGGUCGCCCCCUUGUGGUCGGUAUACAGGUGGUGCAUGGUUGUCGUCAGCUCGUGUCGUGAGAUGUUGGGUUAAGUCCCGCAACGAGCGCAACCCUCGUUCUGUGUUGCCAGCGGGUUAUGCCGGGGACUCACAGGAGACUGCCGGGGUCAACUCGGAGGAAGGUGGGGACGACGUCAAAUCAUCAUGCCCCUUAUGUCUUGGGCUGCACACGUGCUACAAUGGCCGGUACAAUGAGCUGCGAUACCGUGAGGUGGAGCGAAUCUCAAAAAGCCGGUCUCAGUUCGGAUUGGGGUCUGCAACUCGACCCCAUGAAGUCGGAGUUGCUAGUAAUCGCAGAUCAGCAUUGCUGCGGUGAAUACGUUCCCGGGC